rnacentral:rRNA from 1 species
GAUGAACGCUGGCGGCGUGCCUAACACAUGCAAGUCGAACGAAGCUUGACGGAUGAUUUCUUCGGAAUGAAACCAGAUAUGACUUAGUGGCGGACGGGUGAGUAACACGUGAGCAACCUGCCUUUCAGAGGGGGAUAACGGCUGGAAACGGUCGCUAAUACCGCAUGAUGUGUUCGGAUGGCAUCAUCUGAACAUCAAAGCUUUAUCGCUGAAAGAUGGGCUCGCGUCUGAUUAGAUAGUUGGUGGGGUAACGGCCUACCAAGUCUACGAUCAGUAGCCGGACUGAGAGGUUGAACGGCCACAUUGGGACUGAGAUACGGCCCAGACUCCUACGGGAGGCAGCAGUGGGGAAUAUUGCACAAUGGGGGAAACCCUGAUGCAGCAACGCCGCGUGAAGGAUGACGGUUUUCGGAUUGUAAACUCCUUUUCUUAGUGACGAAGACAGUGACGGUAGCUAAGGAAUAAGCAUCGGCUAACUACGU